GACCACUCAUUCAGAGUUGAGGCCAUACGGACAGCCGGGUCCACUGCCGA
rnacentral:sRNA from 1 species